GACGAACGCUGGCGGCGUGCUUAACACAUGCAAGUCGAACGAAGUGGCGAACGGGUGAGUAAUACGUGGGUAACCUGCCCUCCUUUUUGGGAUAAGCCUUGGAAACGGGGUCUAAUACCGAAGAAAGGGGGAUGGGCUCGCGGCCUAUCAGCUUGUUGGUGGGGUGAUGGCCUACCAAGGCGGGGACGGGUAGCCGGCCUGAGAGGGGGACCGGCAACAAGGGGACUGCGGUACGACCCAGAGUGCUUCCGGAGGCAGCUGUGGGGGAUAUUGCCCAUAUGGUGAAGGGCUGAUGCAGCGACGCCGCUUGAUUGAUGAAGACUUUCGGGUUGUAAUUCUCUUUCACUAUCGAACGGGUAGGUACUGAAGAAGCGCCAGCUAACUACGUGCCAGCAGCCGCGGUAAUAC
rnacentral:rRNA from 1 species